GAUGAACGCUAGCUACAGGCUUAACACAUGCAAGUCGAGGGGCAGCAUAUCGAAGCUUGCUUUGAUAGAUGGCGACCGGCGCACGGGUGAGUAACGCGUAUCCAACCUGCCCACCACUUGGGGAUAACCUUGCGAAAGUAAAACUAAUACCCAAUGACGUCUCUAGAAGACAUCUGAAAGGGAUUAAAGAUUUAUCGGUGAUGGAUGGGGAUGCGUCUGAUUAGCUUGUUGGCGGGGUAACGGCCCACCAAGGCGACGAUCAGUAGGGGUUCUGAGAGGAAGGUCCCCCACAUUGGAACUGAGACACGGUCCAAACUCCUACGGGAGGCAGCAGUGAGGAAUAUUGGUCAAUGGGCGAGAGCCUGAACCAGCCAAGUAGCGUGCAGAAAGACGGCCCUAUGGGUUGUAAACUGCUUUUAUAGGGGAAUAAAGUGAGCCACGUGUGGUUUUUUGCAUGUACCCUAUGAAUAAGGACCGGCUAAUUCCGUG
rnacentral:rRNA from 1 species